UAACUUUGGCAACCAUGAUGUCAACCAAUUACAAAUUCAACAAAAUUCAUCAUCGCCACAAGACCUUGUUAUUGAUUCUGUGCCAGAGGUGAGGGAAACGAGGGAUCUUACAGGUGAAUCUGUUUCAACACAGAACCAGCAGGGGAAUAGAACUGAACACCCACACCCAGCUAGCUCAAAAAGAAAGCGUACUUCUUCCAUCAAGGUGUUGAAUUUGCCAUUGUGCGCAUAUAUCAACCUAUUCUUGAUAAUGAGGAGUUGGUAAGGGAUUGAGUUGCAAGACAAUUGGUGAGGCUUUCACUUUAGGAUACUUAAUUGCAUGGCCUUCAGCUUUUAUUCGAGAGAAGGAUAAUUGAGUUGAAGCUGAAUUCUUGGAUCGAGAAGCAAAUAAAAUUUGAAGAUUUUAGCUACCAAUAGUCGUAGUUUACAUUGAUAGAUUGAAAAAUGUAAUAUCAUCCACAAGAUUUUUUUUCUUUCGUCUAAUUGAUGCAAAUGCUAUGGUGUAAUAUUCUCGAUAGUUGUAAUUUCUUUGCUCAAAAUGAUAUGACUGAUAUAUUUAUUGUAAUGCAUAUGUAUCAUACACUCUUGUGUAUUCGUAAUAAAUAUCUUCAUAUGAAUUUCUAGA